rnacentral:rRNA from 1 species
ACUCCUACGGGAGGCAGCAGUGGGGAAUAUUACACAAUGGGCGCAAGCCUGAUGCAGCCAUGCCGCGUGUGUGAAGAAGGCCUCCGGGUUGUAAAGCACUUUCAGUCGUGAGGAAGGUAAUGUAGUUAAUAGCUGCAUUAUUUGACGUUAGCGACAGAAGAAGCACCGGCUAACUCCGUGCCAGCAGCCGCGGUAAUACGGAGGGUGCGAGCGUUAAUCGGAAUUACUGGGCGUAAAGCGCAUGCAGGUGGUUUGUUAAGUCAGAUGUGAAAGCCCGGGGCUCAACCUCGGAAUAGCAUUUGAAACUGGCAGACUAGAGUACUGUAGAGGGGGUAGAAUUUCAGGUGUAGCGGUGAAAUGCGUAGAGAUCUAGAAGGAAUACCGGUGGCGAAGGCGGCCCCCUGGACAGAUACUGACACUCAGAUGCGAAAGCGUGGGAGCAAACAGGAUUAGAUA